rnacentral:rRNA from 1 species
UGGUCCUGCCUGCCCAGUGACCACUGCGUUUAACGGCCGCGGUAUCAUAACCGUGCGAAGGUAGCGUAAUCACUUGUCUUUUAAAUGAAGACCUGUAUGAAUGGCACCACGAGGGUUUAACUGUCUCCUUCCCCCAGUCAAUGAAAUUGAUCUGCCCGUGAAGAAGCGGACAUAAAAACAUAAGACGAGAAGACCCUAUGGAGCUUCAGGCUAAAGACUCAAACACGUAAAGAAAUCUUUCACGAACAAAAGAAGAAUAAAUUUAAACUUAAUGUAAAUGAUCACAUGCCUUCGGUUGGGGCGACCACGGGGGAAAACAAAGCCCCCGAAUGGAAUGAAGACAUCUUCCAAACCAAGAAAUACACUUCUAAGUAACAGAAAAUCUGACCAAACAUGACCCGGAACUAAAUUACCCGAUCAAUGAACCAAGUUACCCUAGGGAUAACAGCGCAAUCCUUUCCCAGAGUCCCUAUCGACGAAAGGGUUUACGACCUCGAUGUUGGAUCAGGACAUCCUAAUGGUGAAGCCGCUAUUAAGGGUUCGUUUGUUCAACGAUUAACAGUCCUACGUGAUCU